AUAGAUUCAUCACAAUCAUGUUCCACAUCACAAAAACAUUUCACUAAAGGCUCGUUCUCAUGCAUUUUGAAGAAAAGAUAAUUUAAACAGUUCAAGUGGUUCACUCAAACGUAUGUACAUCUACCCAAAACAUUUUAGUGCAGGUUCACUCACCGAUAUUUGUUGAAUCUUUACUCGACUCCAACCUCCACUAAUGGUCCAAAUGGAACUGUGGGGCCUCGUUGGGACCUAUCAUCACAACAACAUCAGAACCAAUCCGAUUUGCAUAAUUAUAGUUCUAAAAGCUAUCCACUAAAUCAUGUUCUGCUAGUAUCCAACUACCAUUAAGUGACUAUAUAUUUUCACUAUUCUAGUCACACUACAAUGAACAACCCACCUCAACUACAAAACACUCACCGAUCUAGCCACUGGUCAUUCUCAACAACUAAAAAGAAAUCAACUCUAUUUCACUACUCAC
rnacentral:lncRNA from 1 species